rnacentral:rRNA from 1 species
CCUAGGCUUGACAUGUUAUGGACAGCUCUGGAAACAGAGUCUCUCUUCGGAGCCGUAACACAGGUGCUGCAUGGCUGUCGUCAGCUCGUGCCGUGAGGUGUUGGGUUAAGUCCCGCAACGAGCGCAACCCUUGUCACUAGUUGCCAACAGUUCGGCUGGGAACUCUAGUGAGACUGCUGGGUUAACCAGGAGGAAGGUGAGGAUGACGUCAAGUCCGCAUGGCCCUUAUGCCUAGGGCUAACACGUGCUAAAUGGUCGGUACAAAGGGAAGCCAAACCGCGAGGUGGAGCAAAUCUCAUAAAACCGGCCCCAGUUCGGAUUGUAGUC